GAUGAACGCUGGCGGCGUGCCUAAUACAUGCAAGUCGAACGGUACUCUUUCGGGAGUACAGUGGCGAACGGGUGAGUAAUACAUAAGGAACCUGCCCUCGGGACCGGGAUAGCUGAUGGAAACGUCAGGUAAUAGCGGAUGUGAGUCAUUAUGGCAUCAUGAUGACUUGAAAGGAUGCAGCAAUGCAUCGCGCGGGGAUGGCCUUAUGGCGCAUUAGCCAGUUGGCGGGGUAACGGCCCACCAAAGCGAUGAUGCGUAGCCGAUCUGACGAGGACGACCGGCCACAUUGGGACUGAGACACGGCCCAGACUCCUACGGGAGGCAGCAGUAGGGAAUUUUCGGCAAUGGGCGCAAGCCUGACCGAGCAACGCCGCGUGAGUGUUAAGGCCUUCGGGUUGUAAAGCUCUGUUGCCGGGGACGAACGGUACUUAUAGGAAAUGAUAAGUAAGUGACGGUACCCGGCGAGAAAGCCACGGCUAACUACGUG
rnacentral:rRNA from 1 species